rnacentral:rRNA from 1 species
GACAGAGGGUGCAAACGUUGUUCGGAAUUACUGGGCGUAAAGCGAGUGUAGGCGGUCUGAAAAGUCAGGUGUGAAAGCCCUGGGCUCAACCCAGGAAGUGCACUUGAAACUGCCAGGCUAGAGUAUCGGAGAGGUUGGUGGAAUUCUCGGUGUAGAGGUGAAAUGCGCAGAUAUCAGGAGGAACACCAAUGGCGAAGGCAGCUCGCUGGGACGUGACUGACGCUGAGACGCGAAAGCGUGGGGAGCAAACAGG